AUUAUGCAGAAUUACGCUUUGGAACGGUUUCGAACCCUCGUCCUUCACUGGCAGGACGGUGGCACGUGCAGUACCUCAAACUCGGACCCGGCCCGGCCCCGAACUUGCGUUCGUUUCUGUAGAAGUCGGCCAGGUGACGCGCCAGGUAAGGCUGGGGGAGCCCCUCAGAAAGGAUUCGAGGAUAGACCGGUGCUGCCGUGCCUGCAACACCGGUGUCCAGUGAGCCGCCCCGCGCACGCCGGGGAAUGUGACGAGUCCCGGGGGUGGUCCCUUUAGAAAGCGCCGAAACCCUACGCAUGCGGAGUCUCAUGGUGCGUUUCGAGCCAGCAGAACGAACAGUUUUAAUUCCCACGUGCUGCCACCGCUGCCUGGCUGUAUUUUAAAAGUAGGAUCUUUGAUGCCAGAAAUCAGGAUUUCCCAGGACAGAAACUAUAGAGGGGGGAUUGGAACUUACUGGGAUUUCACACAUGGGCCCAAACCGCAGCGUCCUCUGUGCACCGGGGCGCCGGGUGCACACGCUGCUGUUGAGGGCGUGAGAGCGAAUGUUUUGUUAAUGAACGUUCUGUUCGUUACCCUGAUUUAACGUAACAGCUCCGCUUUAGUUCCCAUUCAGUUAGAAGUGGAGAGUUUAAAACAAUUCUUACUUGUACAUGCGUCGUGGCACAAGUUCCAGACCUGAGACCCAGAGCAGAGUUCUCCAAGUGUUCGUCCGCUGCGGUCCUUCGCAAAAAAAAAGCAGUUCUAACAGAAUUGUAUAUAUUUGUUCAACUAUUUUGACCAAAAAGUUUAAUAAAUUUUAAAUGUUUAACUGGAUUUGCAUUGUGUGUUCAGACGGCUUUUCCCAUUGAGUAGAAAUUGAGCCUCUGCGUCGCGGGGGACCCAGCAGAGGGGAAACGCUGGGGCGCGGACCCCGGUGGCGCCCUCUCCAACUCCGGGGUUCCCCGCUUGCUCUCAGGAGCUGGGACCUGUGCGGGAUGCACGCUCGAGAGGCGGGCAUGUCUCCCCUGCGCCGCUUCCUCCUCGACGUGCAUUUCCAGGUGAGCCUUUUGUCCCCCCGAUGAGGGAAAAUCCCUAGUUUUCAGACUUCAUUUAUUUCGCUCAUUUAUGUUCUUCAUGAAAUACGUAUUUUCUAAAACGUUCCCCUUUUCUCAUUUACAAAUCCAGAAAUUGUCUCUGUUCCUCAAAGUCAGUUGUGUGAAUUGUUUUCAUUCUUAGGGUCCCGUGCUGCUGUUUUCCUAGAAGUUUUCGUGCUCUACGCAGGCCAGUGACCUGGGUCGGGAUGGAUAAUCUUUAUUCAUGAGAAAUGGAGCUUCUGAAAGUCCGUGUGAGACUCAGCCUGGUUGUCCUGUGUCUGCAGAUCACUGGCACUGGUGACGGGACAGCACGACAAAUGCCACGACUCCACCUGCUGUCCUGAGGAGCUGCGCGGCCCCACUUCUCCGAACCAGAGGCCCAUCCCCAGAGCAUCCCUGGUCAGCGCGAGUGGACCGCUCCGACCAGGCCGAGCCGGGCUCUGUUGCUACGUUGCUUUAAGGAGGAGAUGUCUGCAAGUCUUGCUUAAGGGGGUCGAGACGAAUGUCAGAAUUGGCACCUGGGCUUUUUUCUUCCAAACGUGUGCUGUGUCCACAGACCAGCAGCCAUUGGCCUCUCCGGGGGAGUGUCCGGGACAGGGUCAGAGCAGUGGGAGCCCCGAGUGAGCAGCUCCCUGGCUCUGCAGGAGAAGGGACAGCAGGUGUCUGUUGUCCGGAGGAUGCCGCUCUGCACGGAACCCAGGUCUGAGGCGGGGCUUGGCCCUGGGAUCGUGUCGGGGAUGUUGAGCGGGGAUGGAACGCGCACUUCCAUUCGGACAGGGCUCGGGUGCUCUGCCGGGAGAGUGGAGGGCAUCCGGGAAAGUCUCGUAUGAGCCGGUGGGAUACCUGACCGGGACCCCGGUCCUUCGGUGUCCGGCACAGAGAGGGCAGUACUUGUGCCCCGUGAGGGGUCUCCACGCGGCUGGUGCUCGGGGCCAAGUAUGGGUGGGGCAGCCCCCCGCCCCCACACACACACCCAGGGCUGUCU
rnacentral:lncRNA from 1 species